AACCCCUUAAGGGCAGGUUACCCACGUGUUACUCACCCGUCCGCCACUCGUUCAAAAUUAAAUCAAGGUGCAAGCACCUUUCAAUAAUCAGAACUCGUUCGACUUGCAUGUAUUAGGCACGCCGCCAGCGUUCAUCCUGAGCCAUGAUCAAACUCUGA
rnacentral:rRNA from 1 species